CACCUGUUAGGUUCAUCUCUUAUCCAAUGACGAAACCCCGGUAUCUCGCUUGGGUCUGUUGACCGAGCGAUUCGCUGGGUUCGUAGCCACCGAAUCCUCGCCGCCAAUUUCGUGGAGUUCGGUUGCCUCACCAGUAUAUAUCAUGCGCACCGCACAUGUGUCCCAUCUAUCGAGAGCCUAGGAAGUGAGACGAGCCUGCAGAUUCCGGUGAGAUCAGGCGCCCUGCGCCUGCUGUUGAGGGAGAGCGAGGGACACCCACCGCCACCGUGUGCAUCUGUGUCGUGAGGAGAGAGUGCGGUGGUUCGCCGAACAACGAAGGAUCCGUGCGCCCCCCAUAUCUGGCCUUCAUCGCCGAUUUGGAGUCUGCGGGUGGUCGAGGGCGCUCGGCCGAACGUGUGGAGCUCCGUUGUAGAGAGAAGUUGAGGGAUGGAUCGCAGGACUGCUAUGUGCUCGUCGCGGUGGUGAACGGAAGUCUUCUCGGCGUCCAAUUUGGUGGUGGCAGGGGUGGUGCUGGGCGAGCCCUCGCCGGACAUCGCACUCCAUGGCAGAAUCUGUGCCACCAUGUGCCGUGAAUCGUGCUGCUGCGCACCGUGGGCAGCCAUGCCUGUGCUUUGUGUCAUGGUGAGACUUCCUUCCCUGGAUUCGCAUUCUUCUCCUCUGCGCGUAGAACCUUUCGAAUCGUGACUUGGGGACGCCAGGGCCUCGGGCCAUCUACUCGCCGGUGAACUACCGCCGUGGGGGUUUGGCGACGCCACCUGUGCCGGCCAGAGGUAGAAGGUAAGCGUUGUGGCCGUCGAUCGGAUAUUCUGCGGCUGCGAUUAGAUCCGGGUCCCUUCUCGCGUGGUCGAUCUCUGCCCUCCAUCAGAAAUCGGUCGGCAGAGAGCGUGUCUUCACCGUGUUUGGAUCUGAACCGUAGUUGGCUAAUCAUAGGGCUGUAGCGUGGUCAGUGGAGUGCAUUGAUCUUGCCCGCUGACCAUCGAUCGGGCGGUUACGGGUGAACACUGGCUCAGGAUGAAGACACGAUCUAAUCAUCGCCGUUGGUGAGCAAUCGGGCGGCUAGGAUUUAACCAUACCCUUUCGGCCUUGACAAGUUGCUAAAGAGCCCUCGUAGAAUCAGGGAUUCAACCCGCCGUCCUAGCAUUGGUAGGCUAAGUCUUAGGAUAAUUUGCGCUGAGACCCCUGUCCUUCCCCAAAAUUGGCGCACAGUCCAAGGAAAUAGAAAAUCAGAGAAUUUGAUUUAUAAAAUGAAUUUAUUAUAUAAAAACAAUUCAGAAUCUUGUUAAAUCCAUAGAAAAAUUCAUAUUAAGUUCAAAUUAGUUCAUUCCAAUUUCUAUAAUUCUAUAAUAUUAUUGUUUAUCAAUUAGUGCCACUGAUUUGACAUGAAAGUCACUUUAAAAUUUAUUUCUUAAUUAAUCUCGGAUCAAAUACACAAAACCUUAGAAAAUUCAUAUCUCCUCCGUUUUAAAUCUGAUUUGACUCGUUCCAGUUGCGAUAGCUUCGUAUAAAUAUCUACUACACAAUAGCAACAUUUAUUAUAUAAUAUCUCAUACUUUUAUAAUUGGGUUAAUCUAUGUCUCUUGGACUAACUUCUUUAAUAUUCUAACUUUAUGGCUAUAAUUUAACCAGAUAAUCUUUGAUCAAAUAAUGACUUAGAUUAAAGUGGAGAUAGUUAUUUAUAGAAUAAUCUCUUAUAUGAUUUCUAAUAACCAAAUUAUAAUAUAGUUUAAUAUUUUAGUCACAUAAAUCAUCUAUAAAAUCAUAACUCCUUAACCUUGACUCCGAUCUUAGUAGCUCUCGAACCCACGAUCUCGUAGCUUCGCGUAGAUCAUUAUUAUGCAGUAUGUUCUUAUGUUUGGUGUGAUGUUAAUUUUGUCUAUACCAUGUAUGUUUGUAUUGCUACGACUAGCAGUGCGGUCACGGGGAUCUGAAGAAUCACCCUGGUAACUGGAAUCUCAAGUGCCAGGCAAGUUGUGCCCUUGAUCACUUCUUUUUACCCACUCAUGUUCUAAUUAAUCAAAAUGAUCUGCAUAGGUUAAUUUUGAUGGGACCCAAUAGGUUACCCUAGUUUGUUUAUCCUGUUUACCUUGUUUACCCCUGAAUCAAUUGGGUAGUUAUGCUAUUGCUUUAUAUGGUUUUUGGGUUAAUAUUUCAUUACAUCCAUGUUCCAAUUAUUCUGUUAUGUUAUUUAUGUUCAUGAUAAGAUCAUUAUGUUAAUUGGAACAUGGAGCGACCACCCGGGAAAACAGUGCUACCACAAGGGUUUAAUGGGACGCCCUUGGCUGAUUAACUAGGAAAGCUAGUGGAGGUCUUCCUUACCCGAAAGGGGCAAGGGCAGUAGGGGAGUGGUCAGUGUAGGGAGGUCCUUGGGUUGACUUUGCUGCGAUGGCGGUCAGACAAGAACCCUGCAUUGGAGCUUCCUAUAAAUUGUAGCGGGAUUUCUGAAGCUAGUGGAACUUUGUAAAGGCCUCGUAGUGUUACCCUGCCUCGCUUCCUUGGUAGAGGUGUAUGGGACUCAUGACCCCUUGGUAGAUGGGUAACACGGCUUGUGGGUAAAGAUGUGUAACCUCUGCAGAGUGUAAAACUAGUAUACUAGCCGUGCUCACGGUCAUGAGCGGCUCGGACCCUCACAUGAUUAAUUUAUGGAACCUAAAUUCAAUUUGUCAUUUGCAUUUGCAUGGGAUUUGUUAUUAAUUUUGUUCCAUUAUUUAUUAUGGUUUGGUAUUUACUUACACCUAGUAAUUGCUAAUAAAAUUUUGACCAACAUUAAAAGCAAUGCUCAACUUUAACCAUUCUCUUUGAUAAGCCUUACACUUCACAUGAACUCCCACCUUUUGUGAGUUCAUGUCACAUUAUUCCCCACAACUUGUUGAGCGAUGAACGUAUGUGAGCUCACUCUUGCUGUCUCACACCCCCCCACAGGAGAAGAACAGGUGGUUCAAGAGGAGCCGCAUAUCGAGGAGUUCGAUUCGAUCUAGGUGGCGUCUCCCAGUUGACUUUC
rnacentral:lncRNA from 1 species